UCGUAAAAAAUAUUUAAUUAUAAAAAGAUAAAAAUAUUAAAUAAUUAACUCCUCUUCACGUUCGUUCGCUGAUAAUCGUUUGGUCUGGACCCAGCUUUUACAUGUUCGUGUGCGCUGCACGCGUUUAGUCCAGUUAUCGUACAGACUUUCAUAAAAUAUUUGAUAUAAAACUUUGAAUAUUUACAGUUAAAAGCUAAGGAUCUUAAGCCCGUAGCUCACAACGUUGUUAAGCGGAAUAAAUUAAUGUGUUAGAGCUAAAGCGUACCAUUAUCUUAAUAUGAUCAUGGUGUUCCGUGAACAGUACUCGAAUAAGCUGGAAGCAUAACUUCCUCUUCGGGCGAAUGCAGGUAACGUCGACUUAAAUUGAUGACAACCAUAAUGCAACAUAGAAGCAAAGGGCCAAAGAUUGCUCCCUCUACGCCUAAACAGAAGAUCCCACCUGCUAUGGAUAGGCCUGUCAGAUAAGGAUGUCCACCGCUGAAACAAAUGAAAAUUCCGUCACCACUAUGUUACACGGGAGAAAAUGGAAAAGGAAGAAAGGAAUAGCGAUCAUCGAUCCGCGAGUGAACCAGAGCUCGAUCGUGGCCGGGAUGCAAGCAAAGUACGCGUCCAAAAAAGGAACUGCACCCAGCAUAGUCGCGAGGGCCGAUGGCAAGUAGACGAUCUUCACUUGGAAUAAAUUGUGGAUAAACCACGUCCACAUGCCGAAGAAGGAGGCGAGCUUGAAAGUCGCCGCGAACACUCCGAUCACCGCCUCUUGUAACGCUAUGGCAAAUCUGAAAAAAAGUCAACAUUAUGUCUUCUGCAUGCUAAUCGACUCUUCACACAUAAUUGAGUUAUUUAAAAAUAGCUAUUGACUCUAUACUAUUGUACGAAGAUUAACUUACCCUUCUACCUGUGUCGUGCUUGUGAAAAGAUAAAUAUUUAUGUAAAUUUCAAGAUCUCGCAUGCAUAUAUUCAUAGCAUGCGAAUGCAUAGAAAUGAAAAGCAAUUAAGUUUAAGAUAUCGGAUAUAUUUAUACCUGUGACAGCUAAUAGGACUAAACAUCGUGGUCAAUUCGAUGGGUUUGUAUGUUUUACCGCUGGAACUGAGUAAAUAAAAUAGAGUUGUAAAGAAGACCACCUAAAAUAGAAAAUUCUUACAUUUCUCGUA